rnacentral:rRNA from 1 species
AGAGUUUGAUCCUGGCUCAGGAUGAACGCUAGCUACAGGCUUAACACAUGCAAGUCGAGGGGCAGCGGGAUUGAAGCUUGCUUCAAUUGCCGGCGACCGGCGCACGGGUGAGUAACGCGUAUCCAACCUUCCGUACACUCAGGGAUAGCCUUUCGAAAGAAAGAUUAAUACCUGAUGGUAUGAUGAAAUUGCAUGAUAGCAUCAUUAAAGAUUUAUCGGUGUACGAUGGGGAUGCGUUCCAGUUAGGUAGUAGGCGGGGUAACGGCCACCUAGCCUACGAUGGAUAGGGGUUCUGAGAGGAAGGUCCCCCANAUUGGAACUGAGACACGGUCCAAACUCCUACGGAGGCA